rnacentral:lncRNA from 1 species
UUUCUGCAAGCUAGGAUAUCACUUCACUUCAAUUGCAUGUCAAAGGAAUAGUGGUACAUGUUAACACGGCUUAAUCGAUCAUCUGGGAUUAGAGAACAAAUAGGGUUCAACAUCUACCGACAUACAACACAUCUUCAAAGGUAUGGUCAUGCCCUCUAUAGCCCCCCACAUUGUCAAAUAUCGACAGCAUUCUUGGACGCAUCUACACCACGAGAGGCACACGGACGCCCGGCCGGCCACUUGUUUCUUCGACUGUCCUACACCCUAGUACAAUACAUGCUGACCACCCCUUCCAAGAGACAAGAC